rnacentral:rRNA from 1 species
CCUACGGGCGGCAGCAGUGAGGAAUAUUGGUCAAUGGACGAGAGUCUGAACCAGCCAAGUCGCGUGAAGGAUGACUGCCCUAUGGGUUGUAAACUUCUUUUAUAUGGGAAUAAAAUGUUCCACGUGUGGGAUGUUGUAUGUACCAUAUGAAUAAGGAUAGGCUAACUCCGUGCCAGCAGCCGCGGUAAUACGGAGGAUCCGAGCGUUAUCCGGAUUGAAUGGGUUUAAAGGGAGCGUAGGUGGAUUGUUAAGGCAGUUGUGAAAGUUUGCGGCUCAACCGUAAAAUUGCAGUUGAAACUGGCAGUCUUGAGUGCAGUAGAGGUGGGCGGAAUUCGUGGUGUAGCGGUGAAAUGCUUAGAUAUCACGAAGAACUCCGAUUGCGAAGGCAGCUCACUGGACUGCAACUGACACUGAGGCUCGAAAGUGUGGGUAUCAAACAGGAUUAGAUACCCGGGUAGUC